rnacentral:rRNA from 1 species
GGGGAAUAUUGCACAAUGGACGAAAGUCUGACGGAGCAACGCCGCGUGAGUGAUGAAGGUUUUCGGAUCGUAAAGCUCUGUUGCCAGGGAAGAACGUCCGUUAGAGUAACUGCUAACGGAGUGACGGUACCUGAGAAGAAAGCCCCGGCUAACUACGUGCCAGCAGCCGCGGUAAUACGUAGGGGGCGAGCGUUGUCCGGAAUUAUUGGGCGUAAAGCGCGCGCAGGCGGCUGUUUAAGUCUGGUGUUUAAUCCUGGGGCUCAACCCCGGGUCGCACUGGAAACUGGGCAGCUUGAGUGCAGAAGAGGAGAGUGGAAUUCCACGUGUAGCGGUGAAAUGCGUAGAGAUGUGGAGGAACACCAGUGGCGAAGGCGACUCUCUGGGCUGUAACUGACGCUGAGGCGCGAAAGCGUGGGUAGCAAAC